rnacentral:rRNA from 1 species
CAGUAGCCACGGGAAUACGAAGGGUGCAAGCGUUACUCGGAAUUACUGGGCGUAAAGCGUGCGUAGGUGGUGGUUUAAGUCCGUUGUGAAAGCCCUGGGCUCAACCUGGGAAUUGCAGUGGAUACUGGGUCACUAGAGUGUGGUAGAGGAUAGUGGAAUUUCCGGUGUAGCAGUGAAAUGCGUAGAGAUCGGAAGGAACAUCUGUGGCGAAGGCGACUAUCUGGGCCAACACUGACACUGAGGCACGAAAGCGUGGGGAGCAAACAGGAUUAGAUACCCGCGUAGUCCCUGUCUCUUAUAU